AAACAGCUCAGAGUGUCUGGGGCACCUGGGAUGAGUUGUUUACGGCAGUUGAGGGCUGGAUUUAUCUCUGCUUUUCCUGGAGGAGAGGGGAAUGUGCUGGCGAAUACACUUUUCAUUGUACAACGGCUUUGGAACCGAACUGCAAAGAGAAAAUUUUCCUGGCACUGUCUUCAAGGAGAAAUUCAUCAAGCGGGCCUUUAUAUAACAAACAUGAGAACACUGCUGGGGGGACCGAAAGAUGGCUCCACAUCAAACACGGCUCUUGCUCUCGCAGAGGACCUGGGUUCGGCUCCCAGCACCCACACAUCUGGCAGCUCACAGUUACCUGUUACUCCAGUGCAGGAGAAUCCAGUGUCUUCUGGCUUCCUCAGAAACCUGCUUACACAUGAUGCACACAUGUAUAUAAAUUUUCACAUGUGUAUAAAAAAAUCUUUAAAACAGUGACAACAACAAAAACAAAAACAAGCAAACAAACAAAAACAGGGGCAAUGAGGCAAGGUAGAAAGUCAGAGAAAUUUAAGGGGCACAGGAAAGGAAAGAGGCCUACAGUCCAGGGACCUAGCUAAUGUGUCCUGCUGAAUGUGGGUCAACUAACUUCAAUGUAACUGGCAAACUGACCUACAGAGAUCGUGUUUGUCUUCAAGCAUCUCAGACAAGAGUGAUGAACAUACUUAGGCAGGGCCACAUUACGUGUGUCCUCUACCUGCUCUAUGCUAACCAACUUCUCUCAGCCCUAAACCCAAGCAACAUACUUCAUAAAGCCACCUUCUAUAUUGAUUUACCAAAUUAGUUGACAUUCUUUAAGAAAACAUGUAAAUAAGCCUUUUCAAACAUAAUUUUAUCAUCUACUUGGGGGGAUAUGCAUAUGUGUACAUGUUCGUGUAUGUGCAAAGAGAUGUGUGCAUAUGCAUACACGUGAAGGUCAUGGAUCACCCAACAGUGUCAUUCUCUUGUCCACCUUAUUUUUUUGUGACAAGGUCUCUUAUUGCAACCUGGAACUCACCAACUGGGCUAGACUGGCUAGCCAGCAGCGCCAAGGAUGCCUCUGAUCUCUUCCUGCCAAUUUCAUGCUAAGGUUACAUGUCUAGCCUUUUGGCAUGAGGUCUUUGUGGCACAUGUCAAACACUUGACUGGGCUAUUUCUCCAGCCCCACCCCCUGCUACAUCAUGUUUAAACUUGACUUAAACAUCACAAUAUUGUAAAGUACAACUUUUGAACAAUGUAACUUAGGAUGAGGGAGAAUUAUACCUAGCCAUUAUGAAGACACCCAAGGUAACUCUCUGGAGAAGCCCGUACUCAGGUGUGGGUGUGUAUCGUAGUUUUCCUAAACACUCUACCCACCCAUCCCAAACUUAAAUCUAAAGCGUAACCAUAUUUUUGGGUUACUUUAUUGUGUUCUUAUAUAUAUCACUCUUCCCCACUCCAAUCCCUUUCAACCCUACAACAUCAGGUAGGUGUGAAAGAAGGUCAAAGACGAAAGGGAGUGUUGAUGUCUCUGCUGAUUAGGGGUGUUGAGUUCCUUGGGGCAAGUUUGACCUUCUCGGUCAGGAUAUCCAAUUUCUUCUUCUGUCUUUGCUCAUGACCACUUGACAAACUGCAAAAACAGACACCAGCAGCAGCAGCAGCCGGGGGAGCAGCAAUGUCCGCAGCCUCUCGAGGCUGUGGCAUUUUUAUACCCUCUCAAGACCAGAAUUACAAAAGUAAACGGAUCUUCAACUGGCACCAUCCCUCCGCUGCCAGACAAUGAGACAAAUCUUAGUCAGCAGCUGAGGAUAGUCUGAAGCAGCCCCGUAUCCUACACCUAAUAUUAAAACAAAGACAUGCUCCUGUAACAUAACUGGGUCUUUAAAGAACCCAAAAUUCUCACUACACAAAACUGUGUACUAUUGUCUUUAUAAUAAACUAACUUUGCG
rnacentral:lncRNA from 1 species